GCCCAGACUCCUACGGGAGGCAGCAGUGAGGAAUAUUGGUCAAUGGGCGAGAGCCUGAACCAGCCAAGUCGCGUGAAGGAUGACUGCCCUACGGGUUGUAAACUUCUUUUAUAAAGGAAUAAAGUGAGGCACGUGUGCCUUUUUGUAUGUGCUUUAUGAAUAAGGAUCGGCUAACUCCGUGCCAGCAGCCGCGGCAAUACGGAGGAUCCGAGCGUUAUCCGGAUUUAUUGGGUUUAAAGGGUGCGUAGGCGGGCUGUGAAGUCGGCGGUCAAAUGUCGGGGCUCACCCCCGGCCUGCCGUUGAAACUGGCGGCCUCGAGUGGGCGAGAAGUAUGCGGAAUGCGUGGUGUAGCGGUGAAAUGCAUAGAUAUCACGCAGAACUCCGAUUGCGAAGGCAGCAUACCGGCGCCCGACUGACGCUGAGGCACGAAAGCGUGGGUAUCGAACAGGAUUAGAUACCCCUGUACG
rnacentral:rRNA from 1 species